UACGAAGGGGCUAGCGUUGCUCGGAAUCACUGGGCGUAAAGCGCACGUAGGCGGACUCUUAAGUCGGGGGUGAAAUCCUGGAGCUCAACUCCAGAACUGCCUUCGAUACUGGGAGUCUUGAGUUCGGGAGAGGUGAGUGGAACUGCGAGUGUAGAGGUGAAAAUUCGUAGAUAUUCGCAAGAACACCAGUGGCGAAGGCGGCUC
rnacentral:rRNA from 1 species